rnacentral:rRNA from 1 species
AGUGAACGCUGGCGGUAGGCCUAACACAUGCAAGUCGAACGGCAGCACAGUAAGAGCUUGCUCUUACGGGUGGCGAGUGGCGGACGGGUGAGGAAUACAUCGGAAUCUACUUUUUCGUGGGGGAUAACGUAGGGAAACUUACGCUAAUACCGCAUACGACCUACGGGUGAAAGCAGGGGAUCUUCGGACCUUGCGCGAUUGAAUGAGCCGAUGUCGGAUUAGCUAGUUGGCGGGGUAAAGGCCCACCAAGGCGACGAUCCGUAGCUGGUCUGAGAGGAUGUACCGGCACAGUGGGAGUGAGCGGCGACACUGAGACCGAGAGAAGGCACAGAUGCCGACGGGAGGAAGAAGGGGGGAAGCCUGCACCAGCGGCGCCAGCCUGAUGCAGCAGCGCCUCGGGUUGGAUGACGGUUUUGUUGUUGAAGAAAGGCUUCAGCAGGGACGACGCUUGUUGUGACGGUACCUGAAGAAGAAGCACCGGCUAACUACGUG